UACAGAGGUCUCAAGCGUUGUUCGGAUUCAUUGGGCGUAAAGGGUGCGUAGGCGGCUUGGUAAGUCGGAUGUGAAAUCUCGGAGCUUAACUCCGAAACUGCAUUCGAUACUGCCGUGCUUGAGGACUGGAGAGGAGACUGGAAUUUACGGUGUAGCGGUGAAAUGCGUAGAUAUCGUAAGGAAGACCAGUGGCGAAGGCGGGUCUCUGGACAGUUACUGACGCUGAGGCACGAAGGCCAGGGGAGCAAACGGG
rnacentral:rRNA from 1 species